rnacentral:rRNA from 1 species
UGCAUAUCAAUAAGCGGAGGAAAAGAAACUAACAAGGAUUCCCCUAGUAGCGGCGAGCGAAGCGGGAAGAGCUCAAAUUUAUAAUCUGGCACCUUCGGUGUCCGAGUUGUAAUCUCUAGAAAUGUUUUCCGCGUUGGACCGCACACAAGUCUGUUGGAAUACAGCGGCAUAGUGGUGAGACCCCCGUAUAUGGUGCGGACGCCCAGCGCUUUGUGAUACAUUUUCGAAGAGUCGAGUUGUUUGGGAAUGCAGCUCAAAUUGGGUGGUAAAUUCCAUCUAAAGCUAAAUAUUGGCGAGAGACCGAUAGCGAACAAGUACCGUGAGGGAAAGAUGAAAAGCACUUUGGAAAGAGAGUUAACAGUACGUGAAAUUGUUGGAAGGGAAACGCUUGAAGUCAGACUUGCUUGCCGAGCAAUCGGUUUGCAGGCCAGCAUCAGUUUUCCGGGAUGGAUAAUGGUAGAGAGAAGGUAGCAGUUUCGGCUGUGUUAUAGCUCUCUGCUGGAUACAUCUUGGGGGACUGAGGAACGCAGUGUGCCUUUGGCGGGGGUUUCGACCUCUUCACACUUAGGAUGCUGGUGGAAUGGCUUUAAACGACCCGUCUUG